GGGGAUUUAGCUUAGUGGUAGAGCACUUGCCUAGCAAGUGCAAGACCCUGGGUUCAGUCCCCA
rnacentral:tRNA from 1 species